ACUGAACGCUGGCGGCAUGCCUUACACAUGCAAGUCGAACGGUAACAGGUCUUCGGAUGCUGACGAGUGGCGAACGGGUGAGUAAUACAUCGGAACGUGCCUAGUAGUGGGGGAUAACUACUCGAAAGAGUGGCUAAUACCGCAUGAGAUCUACGGAUGAAAGCAGGGGAUCGCAAGACCUUGUGCUACUAGAGCGGCCGAUGGCAGAUUAGGUAGUUGGUGGGAUAAAAGCUUACCAAGCCGACGAUCUGUAGCUGGUCUGAGAGGACGAUCAGCCACACUGGGACUGAGACACGGCCCAGACUCCUACGGGAGGCAGCAGUGGGGAAUUUUGGACAGUGGGCGCAAGCCUGAUCCAGCAAUGCCGCGUGCAGGAUGAAGGCCUUCGGGUUGUAAACUGCUUUUGUACGGAACGAAAAGCCCUGGGUUAAUACCCUGGGGUCAUGACGGUACCGUAAGAAUAAGCACCGGCUAACUACGUGCCAGCAGCCGCAGUAAAAC
rnacentral:rRNA from 1 species